rnacentral:rRNA from 1 species
AUACGGAGGGUGCAAGCGUUAAUCGGAAUCACUGGGCGUAAAGCGCGCGCAGGCGGCUAUUUAAGUUGGAUGUGAAAGCCUACGGCUCAACCGUAGAACUGCAUCCAAAACUAUUUAGCUAGAGUGUGGGAGAGGAAGAUGGAAUUAGUUGUGUAGGGGUAAAAUCCGUAGAGAUAACUAGGAAUACCAAAAGCGAAGGCAAUCUUCUGGAACACUACUGACGCUGAGGCGCGAAAGCGUGGGGAGCAAACGGGAUUAGAAACCCUAGUAGUCC